rnacentral:tRNA from 1 species
GCCUCGGUGGCUCAGUCGGUUAAGCAUCUGACUUCAACUCAGGUCAUAAUCUCAUGGCUCGUGAGUUCGAGCCUCGCAUCAGGCU